ensembl:lncRNA
AGGCGAGGCGAGUAGAAUAGACAGGCGAGUAGAAUAGACAGGCGAGUAGAAUAGACAGGCGAGGCGAGUAGAGUAGAGUAGAAUAGACAGGCGAGGCGAGUAGAACAGAGUAGAGUAGACAAGACAGACAGUAGAGUAGACAAGACAGACAGGUGAGUAGACAGACAGGUGAGUAGACAAGACAGACGAGGUGAGGUGAGUAGACAAGACAGACGAGGUGAGGUGAGUAGACAGACGAGGUGAGUAGAGUAGACAGACGAGGUGAGUAGAGUAGACAGACGAGGUGAGUAGAGUAGACAGACGAGGUGAGUAGAGUAGACAGACGAGGUGAGUAGAGUAGACAGACGAGGUG